AAUAACCGAGCACAGUACUAGACCGAUACCAGUAUCGAUAUCGCCCUACGUUAGACAUCUCGGCAAUUCAUUGGUGCAUGACAGUGGUGUUAAAACUUGUUCCCACUAUGACAGGGACGUAUAUAGAAGUUUUAUUUUCCAAGAUUGUGACAGAACUGUUUCCAGUUCCUCAAACUAAGAAGCUGAAAAUCCCUGUGACUCAGAGAAAUGCAGGUUUUGUUUUUUUUUUUACUGAUGGUGAAACAUAAAUCCUGUUCGCAGUGCAGCACGAUGGCUAUAAAACAUUUCACACGCGUUUAACUAAAACAAUAAUAAUAAUAAGAAGAAGAAGAAUCUCCUCAUCCUAAAGAUAUGUUUGAGCUGUUAACAGAUAUAUAAAUAAAAGAGUUACUGAGGAUUUUCAGGCCACUGCUGUAUAAAGUGUACCGCUUAGCAGAGCUACAUAGUCACAUGACCAGUGAGUUAAGCAGGAGAUGUCAGGACUGUAUUUCCGCAAUACAAGUCACAAGAUAAAGUGAAAUAUUUCACACCUAGGCGGGAAUGAUAAAAGCGAGUUGAUGUAUGAGCCAGAAGCAACCUUGACUUAAAUGUACAUUAUAAUUAGUUCAGCAUGCUGUCUUACGCACGUACAUACAAACAUCCUUCUAAGGAGCAUUAGGAAAGCACUGCACUGGAAAAUCCACACGCUGAUCAAGUCUAUCUGUGUGGUUCUUGUGUGCUAAUAAAACAGUCAUGUCUGUAUAAGUGUGCAUUAUGUGUCAUUCACAAACGAUUCAAUUCUCUCAGCCGACAAGAUUUUUUGACAAGAUAAAUACAGUGGGAGAUGAUGAAGGUUUUGCUGAGAAUCUAACGCCAUUAACAGUGAAAGCUGGUCAUGAUAUUGAAUGGGAGGCCUAAAAUCUAAUACUUAUUAACUGCUAAAUAAUGAAACUAUCAGUGUUGAGCAAUGCACAUAGUCAAAUGCAUUUGUGAUUUCUUUUCAUUUUUAAAAAAAAAUCUUUAAAGUCCAUCAUGCCCCUGCUGGGUUUGUGCUGUGUUUCAUUACAAUAUGAAAUAUCGUCAACAGAAAAGUAUCACGCAAAAAAAAUAAACACUAAAUGUAUAGUUCUGUCAUUUGUCCUUUUGUCUAAUUGCCUAAUUUGUACUUUGUUUGUACAUGUGCACAUAUCUACUUUCUGUGUAUUACUGUUUCCACCAUGUUUGGUGCUGUUAUACACCUUAAGACAGCAUAUAAUCUAAUACAGGUGCCAAAAAAAUGAAACUUUAUAUUGAUGUCUUUUUAUAUUUGAAAGACAGGGAGGAAGGCUUGGCCCUGCUAGCAUGUUUACACCAGCUGCCCCUGGCCAUUAAUCAGAGACACUUCAACCCUGAUCAGAUAGCAUCCAGUGAAACUUACCAUGUGAAUUAUUUGCCACAAUAUAAUUAUUUAUUAUCAGCUAUAGAGACUGCAGUUGCUUUAUACCAGUGUAUGUAGUGUAGUUUAUGGGGAAAGUGAAUAUUCAUCCAUCUAUUUUCCAUACAGCUUAUCCUAAACAGGGUCAUGGGGGAUCCUGGAGCCUAUCCUGGGGUGCCAAUCCAUCGCAGGGCACAAUCACACACACAUUCACACCACAGACAAUUUGGAAAUGCCAAUCAGUCGACAGCGCAUGAUUUUGGAUUUGGGGGAGGAACCUGGAGUACCCCCAACACCAGAGGUGCGAGGCACACAUGCAAAUAAUACAAACAUUAUUGGCAUUGACUAUUGCUACUGGGAUUAAACGCUAAUUUUAUUUGUAUUAGUAGCCAUUUCAUGACAUAUUUACAGAAUAUUAACUAGUAGAUUCAUUAGAGUACAGAAAAACACAGUAUAUGCUUUGUUAAGGUUGAAGGACUCAUUUUAAGGGUGAAACUAAAUAAUCGGUAUAAUG